GAGUUUGAUCCUGGCUCAGGAUGAACGCUGGCGGCGUGCCUAAUACAUGCAAGUCGAGCGAACAGAUAAGGAGCUUGCUCCUUUGACGUUAGCGGCGGACGGGUGAGUAACACGUGGGUAACCUACCUAUAAGACUGGAAUAACUCCGGGAAACCGGGGCUAAUGCCGGAUAAUAUUUAGAACCGCAUGGUUCUAAAGUGAAAGAUGGUUUUACUAUCACUUAUAGAUGGACCCGCGCCGUAUUAGCUAGUUGGUGGGGUAAUGGCUUACCAAGGCAACGAUACGUAGCCGACCUGAGAGGGUGAUCGGCCACACUGGAACUGAGACACGGUCCAGACUCCUACGGGAGGCAGCAGUAGGGAAUCUUCCGCAAUGGGCGAAAGCCUGACGGAGCAACGCCGCGUGAGUGAUGAAGGUCUUCGGAUCGUAAAACUCUGUUAUUAGGGAAGAACAAAUGUGUAAGUAACUGUGCACGUCUUGACGGUACCUAAUCAGAAAGCCACGGCUAA
rnacentral:rRNA from 1 species